rnacentral:sRNA from 1 species
GCUUGAAUAUGUCAUAUAUAUUGGGAGUCACCUCCUGAGGCGGCAGCGGUCCAAAUUACAGAAAGCGACAAAACUUCAAAAAAAGUCAUCAAAUAAGAAAGACAGCUAGGAGCACAAAUAUUGAAACCUGGAAGCAGAUAAAGUCAGGGAAAUGCAACUGAACAAGAUCACCAAUAGCCUCCAUCCUCUUCUGCAACUCCAAAUCUUCCCGGAACCAGACAUUGUAACUCAGUAUCUUAAACGUACUAAAAGCUUUUCCCGACUCCGCAUUAUCUGCAACAUACAAUAGCAUUUCAUAAAGCACGUAUUUUGCAGACAUUACAAAAAAUAGAAACGCAUAAAAAGACGCUCACCAUCGCCGGUGGGUCGAAGAGGGAAGAAAACAGAGCCAACGGAAGAAUCGCCGUCAGUGGCGUCAGUCAAGUCGUCGAGAUGGGAAAGGGAGAGAACGGGGCAUCGAGUAGCGCAGACUUCGCAAGAGGGGUUGUUGUAAGGGUUUAAGAAAGUGCAAGCCUUGCACGACCAUUUCGGGGGCGACGAAGACGAAGAAGAAGGACCGCUUGGGGACGCGGGGGACAAGCAGAUUUCGCACUCCCGCUUUUGAGAAGGAGGGUUCACGAAAGUGCAUUUUUUGCAGGCCCAAGACAUCGGAGAUGAAAUGCGAACCGAUCCAAAUUUUCUAGGGUUUAUCAGAAACGAUGAUGAAGCAAGUGAAGAGAAGAGUAAUCGAAGAGGCAUUUCAAAUUUCAUGCCGUUUUUGAACGACUAUCAAAACGCAACGCUUUGAAAAAGGUUAAAACGGCAACAUUACAAGCCGUACGUCGAGUGUCGAGUGUCGAGU